rnacentral:rRNA from 1 species
AGGUUACUGCUAUCGGUGUUCGCCUAAGCCAUGCGAGUCAUAUGUUCUUCGUGAACAUGGCGUACUGCCCAGUAACACGUGGAUAACCUGCCCUUGGGUCCGGCAUAACCCCGGGAAACUGGGAUAAUUCCGGAUAACGCACAUAUGCUGGAAUGCUUUAUGCGUCAAAUGGAUUCGUCCGCCCAAGGAUGGGUCUGCGGCCUAUCAGGUAGUAGUGGGUGUAAUGUACCUACUAGCCUACGACGGGUACGGGUUGUGAGAGCAAGAGCCCGGAGAUGGAUUCUGAGACAUGAAUCCAGGCCCUACGGGGCGCAGCAGGCGCGAAAACUUUACAAUGCGGGAAACCGUGAUAAGGGGACACCGAGUGCCAGCAUCAUAUGUUGGCUGUCCGGGUGUGUAAAAUACACCUGUUAGCAAGGGCCGGGCAAGACCGGUGCCAGCCGCCGCGGUAACACCGGCGGCCCGAGUGGUGAUCGUGAUUAUUGGGUCUAAAGGGUCCGUAGCCGGUUUGGUCAGUCCUCCGGGAAAUCUGACGGCUUAACCGUUAGGCUUUCGGGGGAUACUGCCAGACUUGGAACCGGGAGAGGUAGGAGGUACUACAGGGGUAGGAGUGAAAUCUUGUAAUCCUUGUGGGACCACCUGUGGCGAAGGCGUCUUACCAGAACGGGUUCGACGGUGAGGGACGAAAGCUGGGGGCACGAACCGGAUUAGAUACCCGGGUAGUCCCAGCCGUAAACGAUGCUCGCUAGGUGUCAGGCAUGGCGCGACCGUGUCUGGUGCCGCAGGGAAGCCGUGAAGCGAGCCACCCGGGAAUUACGGCCGCAAGGCUGAAACUUAA